UGGAGUUGUGCAGGGCAAAGGUUGAUGAGGAAGACUCCAAAGCCAUCAAACAAACUCAGUUUAGGGCUGCUGAAGCGGAUGGUUCCUGUUUGAAGCUUCAGACCCGGGGAACACAGCAGCCCACGGUGACAGUUUCUUAUUUCAAGAAACCUCACACUUGAAGGCCCUCUACCACGGAGCUGCACCCUCUGCGCUAGAUUGUACUUUUCAUAAAAUGAUCAUACUGUCAUGUGGUAGAAGACGAGAGACAAAU
rnacentral:lncRNA from 1 species